GACAGAGGAUGCAAGCGUUAUCCGGAAUGAUUGGGCGUAAAGCGUCUGUAGGUGGCUUUUUAAGUCCGCCGUCAAAUCCCAGGGCUCAACCCUGGACAGGCGGUGGAAACUACCAAGCUGGAGUACGGUAGGGGCAGAGGGAAUUUCCGGUGGAGCGGUGAAAUGCGUAGAGAUCUGGAGGAAUACCGGUGGCGAAGGCGGCCCCCUGGACGAAGAGCUGACGCCUCAGGUGCGAAAGCGUGGGGAGCAAACAGG
rnacentral:rRNA from 1 species